GACGAACGCUGGCGGCGUGCUUAACACAUGCAAGUCGAACGAAGUGGCGAACGGGUGAGUAACGCGUAAUCAACCUGCCCUUCAGCGGGGGACAACAGUUGGAAACGACUGCUAAUACCGCAUACUGAAGGUGGGGAUUGCGUCGGAUUAGCUAGUUGGGGGGGUAACGGCCCACCAAGGCGAUGAUCAGUAGCCGGUCUGAGGGGGUGAACGGCCAAAAUGGGACUGGGACACGGGCCAGACUCCUACGGGAGGCAGCAGGUGGGAAUCUUUCGCAAUGGACGAAAGGCUGAAGGAGGAACGCCGCGGGAGUGAUGACGGCCUUCGGGUUGGAAAGCUCUGUUAAUCGGGACGCGGUACCGGAAUAGAAAGCCACGGCUAACUACGUGCCAGCAGCCGCGGUAAUAC
rnacentral:rRNA from 1 species